ACCCAGAAGUGAUGGUUUACUAAUUGUAUCAUCUCUAAAUCAGCCAUUCAUCUGAAAGUAAUAUCUGAUUAGUUAUGUGCAUAUGUAUUCAAGUAAUAGUCAUGAGAGAUGAUCAUGGGCCAAACACUAUGCCAAGUACCUGGGAUACCAAGGAGAUAAGAGGAGAGCUUUACCCUUGAAGAUUUCUCCUCUGAUAAUACGAAGUAGACAUGUCAACAAUUUUUUAAAAAGGUAACAUGAUGAAAUAUAUGAGAGGUCCUUUAUGAAGAAGAGUGACCUAGUACAAGUGGCCACUAUAAAGAACUCAAAAUAAACUCCUGAGCUCAAAUGGCCUUUAAUUAUGAUGACCCAAGGCAAGAGUCUGCUGUUUCAUGAAUGCUUUACUUCAAGACUCAACUUUGAAAUACGUGUAUUUGAGAAAGGGAGUGUAUGAUUAAGAGGGCUUUUUGGCUGGAAGUAACACAUAAGCCAACUAGUAAUGACUUAAACAAAUAGUAGUCUUCUAGCUUUAUUUUCACAGACCAAGACUAUGAAAGUAGGCAGCUUUUGAGAUUGCUUCAGUGGCUCAGUGUUGUCAAGGCCAGCAUCUCUGUCUUUUCCUUUAUGUCACAGCAUUGCUACUACAGGUCCAGCUAUCACAACAUCACUUCAGGAGACAGAAAUAAACAGGACCAGCAGUGUAAGCUAUAUUUGCCCCUUGUGUCAAGAAUGCAUAAUCUUUCUCAAAACCACAUAGCAUAGUAUUGUUUAUGUCUCACUGGCCAGAUCAGUUCAUAUGAUUGCUUAUAGUUGCAAAUUAGGUUGGAAAACUGUGUAGUUUUUUAACCUCUUAGUUCAAGGCAUCAAAGAAGAGAGUGAAUGGUCUGUAUGCCCUGUUUUUACCCUUCCAGUUACACUACCACCCCAAAUUAUCUCUCUGACUCUAAAUACUGCCUUCCACCAUGUAGUGAAUGAUUAUAAAUUUAUAUAGCCUCAGUAUCCAUCUUUGAAUGCAGGAUUAACUUUCUCAUACCAGAGGCAGGGCUCAGUCACCCUUGACAGUUUCCAGUUUUACAUCACAUCAAAUGGCUAAAGUUGGUGGCCAGGGAUAAGAAUUUAGAAGCAUCUCUUCAGGCUAGCAAACUGGGCUCCCUGCUUUCCUGCUGUUCAUAUUUUUAAAGAGAUAUUUCAUGGAUUUGCCUGUGAACCUAAAGUGACCCACACCCUAUUCCCUUACAUAUACUGCUAGCUGCCAUGUGCUCUUCUCUCUCUG
rnacentral:lncRNA from 1 species